UCUACAAGACAAACAAUUUUGAAAACCUUUAACUCAAAGGCAACAAUUAUGCACAAAGAAUGUCAUCCAACUAGAAUAAGAGCAUCGAAUUUGCUUACCAUGUAAAAACAACAUAUGAAAUCAUGAAAUGGCACUAAAAAAGUAGCACCUGUUUACAAACAAAGAGACAUUUUUAGAGCAUGCUGUAACCAUCAUCAUUCAUGCCUAUGUAGCACAUUAUGGCUAUCACAAAGACAAAAAACGAAGAAAGCUCCAUUGCUAGUGCCCCCCAGCCAAUGACACCAGCAUGCUUUAAAAUCGCUGGUAUUGCAAUGCUUCCAACUACUGAGGCACCAGUCAAGAACUUAGUCGCAUUGACCCAGCUGUUAUCAGAUUCUGAAAAAAGGGAAGAACUAUCAGAGCCAGAAAAGAACAGCAAAGGCAUAGGAAGAAGCACAUACAUUAUCACACUUAGCAUAGGCCACCAAUUGUUGUACAGUGCACAUGCCA
rnacentral:misc_RNA from 1 species